rnacentral:rRNA from 1 species
GGCUAACUACGUGCCAGCAGCCGCGGUAAUACGUAGGGGGCAAGCGUUAUCCGGAAUUAUUGGGCGUAAAGAGUGCGUAGGUGGUUACCUAAGCGCAAGGUUUAAUUUAGAGGCUCAACCUCUACUUGCCUUGCGAACUGGGCUACUUGAGUGCAGGAGGGGAAAGCGGAAUUCCUAGUGUAGCGGUGAAAUGCGUAGAUAUUAGGAGGAACACCAGCGGCGAAGGCGGCUUUCUGGACUGUAACUGACACUGAGGCACGAAAGCGUGGGUAGCAAACAGGAUUAGAUACCCUGGUAGUCCACGCCGUAAACGAUGAGCACUAGGUGUCGGGGUCGCAAGACUUCGGUGCCGCAGUUAACGCAUUAAGUGCUCCGCCUGGGGAGUACGCACGCAAGUGUAAAACUCAAAGGAAUUGACGGGGACCCGCACAAGCAGCGGAGCAUGUGGUUUAAUUCGAAGCAACGCGAAGAACCUUACCAGGGCUUGACAUCCUGCUGACAGGACCUUAACCGGUCCCUUCUUCGGACAGCAGAGACAGGUGGUGCAUGGUUGUCGUCAGCUCGUGUCGUGAGAUGUUGGGUUAAGUCCCGCAACGAGCGCAACCCUUGUCGCUAGUUACUAACAUUCAGUUGAGGACUCUAGCGAGACUGCCGAGGUCAACUCGGAGGAAGGUGGGGAUGACGUCAAAUCAUCAUGCCCCUUAUGUUCUGGGCUACACACGUGCUACAAUGGUCGGUACAAUGAGAGGCAAUACUGUGAAGUGGAGCAAAUCACCAAAACCGAUCCCAGUUCGGAUUGUAGGCUGCAACUCGCCUACAUGAAGUUGGAGUUGCUAGUAAUCGCAGAUCAGAAUGCUGCGGUGAAUGCGUUCCCGGGUCUUGUACACACCGCCCGUCACACCAUGGAAGUUGGGGGUGCCCAAAGUCGGUUAAUUAAUCUAUCGCCUAAGGCAAAACCAAUGACUGGGGUGAAGUCGUAACAAGGUAGCCGUUCGAGAACGAGCGGCUGGAUCA